rnacentral:lncRNA from 1 species
GCAAAAGAUGAACUUCUGAUUCAGUGAAAGACCCUGUCUCAAGGCAACAAGGCAGAGAGCAAUAGAGGAAGACACCUGAUGUCAUACUCUGGCCAUUCUUCAUGGACCAUCUUUCCAGACCCUUCUCUGUAUAGAGUGGCUUAGAAUACCCAAACAGAAGAGAGCUUGCAUUCAAGAUACCUAACUCCUUCGUAAAGAUAAUUCAUACAAUUCAAAAUAAUUACACCAUCAUUAACACCAGGUGUUGGGGUCCUCGUGAUCUGUAGUUCUUUCCUCAAGCACAAACCUUGACCCAGAUGUGGCCCAGUGACUGCAGGCACGAGACCAAGCCCAAGAGGAAUGUUCUCUGGAACAAAACAAAGCCAAGUGGACAGAGAAAUACCAAAGGAAGAACUCAGAUAAGAGGAAAGGAUAUUUAUUUGCCGGGAAGUGUGGAAGGAAGAAUUCAAAUAAGGGGUCAAAGAUACUGUUUGCUCAAGCUCUGCUUACAAUGCUGCUCUGGUAGCCAGGUAAACAAUACAUAAGCAUCAGAAAAAUAAAAACUAUUCAUUCUUGAAAUGAACCUA